CUUGUGUAUUUGUGUCUGCCUGAUUGUGGUGUCCUUGUAUUUAAUACAGCCACAGAAUGAAAAUGAGGGAAGUCAAGUUCCUGGUCCAAGUUCAUCCAGCUCUGCUCGACCUGAACUCUGCGCUGCCUCUGCCGUCUUCAGUCAAGCGACAUUCAAUCCAUCUUUGGCUCAACUCUGACGUUGAAAGCGGAGGUGCUUUGGAUUUUGAACACCGUUGCUAAACAUUUUGGCAACAGAUUUGGAUGCAAAAAGCUGGUUAAGUUUGAAAAGAAAUUCUGGGACUGCACCUUUCCUUACUUUUGAAAAUAAAGAGUUGCAAAUAAACAAUAAAAGAAAUCAUUCUGUGA